rnacentral:rRNA from 1 species
UACGUAGGGUCCGAGCGUUGUCCGGAAUUAUUGGGCGUAAAGAGCUCGUAGGCGGUUUGUUGCGUCGGCUGUGAAAUCCCGAGGCUCAACCUCGGGUCUGCAGUCGAUACGAGCAAACUAGAGUGUUGCAGGGGAGACUGGAAUUCCUGGUGUAGCGGUGAAAUGCGUAGAUAUCUGGAGGAACACCGGUGGCGAAGGCGGCAUCCUGGACCGACAUUGACGCUGAGGCGCGAAAAGCCAGGGGGAGCCAAACGGGG